GAUGAACGCUAGCUACAGGCUUAACACAUGCAAGUCGAGGGGAAACGAUAUUGGAAGCUUGCUUUCGAUAGGCGUCGACCGGCGCACGGGUGAGUAACGCGUAUCCAACCUGCCCACCACUUGGGGAUAACCUUGCGAAAGUAAGACUAAUACCCAAUGAUAUCUCAAGAAGACAUCUGAAUGAGAUUAAAGAUUUAUCGGCGAUGGAUGGGGAUGCGUCUGAUUAGCUUGUUGGCGGGGUAACGGCCCACCAAGGCGACGAUCAGUAGGGGUUCUGAGAGGAAGGUCCCCCACAUUGGAACUGAGACACGGUCCAAACUCCUACGGGAGGCAGCAGUGAGGAAUAUUGGUCAAUGGGCGAGAGCCUGAACCAGCCAAGUAGCGUGCAGGAUGACGGCCCUAUGGGUUGUAAACUGCUUUUAUAAGGGAAUAAAGUGAGCCUCGUGAGGCUUUUUGCAUGUACCUUAUGAAUAAGGACCGGCUAAUUCCGUGCCAGCCGCCGCAGUAA
rnacentral:rRNA from 1 species